AUUGAACGCUGGCGGCAGGCCCAACACAUGCAAGUCGAACGAGUGGCGGACGGGUGAGUAAUGUCUGGGAAACUGCCUGAUGGAGGGGGAUAACUACUGGAAACGGUAGCUAAUACCGCAUACCAUCGGAUGUGCCCAGAUGGGAUUAGCUAGUAGGUGGGGUAAUGGCUCACCUAGGCGACGAUCCCUAGCUGGUCUGAGAGGAUGACCAGGCAUACUGGAACUGAGACAAGGUCCAGAUUCCUACGGGAGGCAGCAGGGGUGAAUAUGGCACAAUGGGCGCAAGCCUGAUGCAGCCAUGCCGCGGGUAUGAUGAAGGCCGUCGGGUUGUAAAGUACUUUCAGCGAGGAGGCGUUACUCGCAGAAGAGGCACCGGCUAACUCCGUGCCAGCAGCCGCGGUAAUAC
rnacentral:rRNA from 1 species